rnacentral:tRNA from 1 species
GCCUUCGUGGUGUAAUUGUAAGCAUACUCGGCGUAUAUUUGAGAGGUCCAAAGUUCGAAUCCCUGCGAGGGCA